rnacentral:lncRNA from 1 species
GGAUUAUAGAAAUACAAACUAGGAAUCCUGAGCUAUUCCUCGUCAACUAUAUUUUUUCCCUUUUUAGUCGAGAAUUCUGGUACAACGCUAGCUACGGAAUUAAAACAAUUAAAAAUCAUCAAUACAACACCAUUCAAUCUCACAUUAAAUAUUUCAAUUUUUACUCAAUAUUUACCUAAAUCCCAAUUUAGUCCCUGAACCGAGACUAACUUUUAUUCUCAAAACUAAUUUCAUAUUUUC